rnacentral:lncRNA from 10 species
CCGCAGCUGGCGGGCGCCCGGCCGGUUGCCACGGCAACCCCUCUCCCAGGGCCCGGCCCCGCGCGGAGCUGCGGUAAACAGGACCUUCUGCCGGACUCGCCCCCUCGCCUCUCGGGGUGGGGGAGAGGUGGCUUAACCCUUCCUGGGAGGACGCCCGCCGCGCGCGGGCUCCAUUCCACCCAGGCCCGGGCGGAUUCGCGAGGUGCUUCCGGCCUGAGGCUUAGACCUGGACGUCCAAGCCUGGGGAACGGCGGCCGCGUGCCCGGCCCCGCUUACUCUAGGCAGUUAACACACUCUCGGCACCGGGCCGGGGCCGGGGGCACCUCGGGCAGUGAGUCAGGCACCACCCUUGCCCCAGGCAGCUUGCCGUCGGGCCGGGGUAAUGACAGUCAUGAGACCGGCGAUGCAGAGUGUCAAGGUUGAAGAAUGGGAGGCAGGCAGUUUUUCUUCUCCUACAUCAGCGCUCAACUCCCCCUUCCUCCCCACCCCUUUUAGGUCCAGGAUCGUCUACCAGCACGCACAGGCAACAGAGCUGGCUUUAUCUCAGCCAUAAGCCAAGGGAGUAAUGCAUUCAAUGGGCCUGCGGCUCUGUCUCUUGCUCCGACACUGGAUGGAACAGACUCUCUCUUCCAGGCUCUGACUGCCUUCCAAUAAAAAUUAAAAUAAAGAAACCAGGCCGGACGCGGUGGCUUAUGGCUGUGAUCCCAGCACACUGGAAGGCCGAGGCGGGCGGAUCACCUGAGGUCAUGAGUUCGAGACCAGCCUGGCCAACGUGGUGAAACCCUGUCUCUACUAACAAUACAAAAAUUAGCCAGGCAUGGUGGCAGGUGCCUGUAAUCCCAGCUAGUCGGGAGGCUGAGGCAGGAGAAUCACUUGAACCUGGGAGGGCAGGCAGGUGGUGAUGAGACAGAAGAAAGAUCCUGCCAGCCAAGAGGCCAAGAAGGAAUGGAUCCCAGUGACCCAAGCAGGGGAGCCAGAUCUCAAGGGGAUGGUUUGAGUCAGGGAUGCCCCAAGGAACUGCACUGCCUGUUCCUUCCAGAGGGGGGAGCCACAGUGAGGACAUGGAUUGGUUCUUGAUCCAGAACUCUCCCUCCAGAGGAGCUGGCCCUGGGCAGAGCCGAUGCUCACAGGCUUCAUGGGGUAACAAAAAGAACAUGGGUUGAGCCAGACAGGUCUGGGUCUGUGGGACCUCAGAUAAAGCACAUAACCCGUUGGGGCUUGGUUUUCCCAUCCAUGAAAUGGCAGGAAUGAUGCUUCGUUGUUCAGAGUUGCAGGGCGGACCUAAUGCCAUGACUGGUCAAAGUGCCUGGGACAAAAAUGAUGCUCUGUCAACAUUUACAUCCAAAAGGAAUCUCAGUGGAAAUGAAAACAUUUGAGAGAGUGUCCGAAGGCUCUUUCUCAGGCUCUGUCCCCUGCCUUGAUGGGUGGGGCUAGCCUUGUCAUAUCCCUCGGUACUUCCCAUUUCCCGUGGUUUCUUCUUUUUUUCUUUUGAGACGGAGCCUUGCUCUUGUUGCCCAGGCUGGAGUGCAAUGAUGUGAUCUUGGCUCACUGCAUAGGUGCAUAGGUGAAAGGUAUACACAUGGGAGGCUGGGGCAGGAGGAUCACUUGAGCUUGGGAGUCCUGGGUUGUGGUGCACUUUGCCAAUCCAGUGUCUGCACUAAGUUCAGCAUCAAUAUGGUGACCUCCUGGGAGCAAGGGACCACCAGGUUGCCUAAAGAGGGGUUAAUCAGCCCAGGUCAGAAAUGGAACAGGUCAAAACUCCUGUGCUAAUCUGUAGUGGGAUCGUACCUGUGAAUAGCCACUGCACUCUAGCCUGGGCAACAUAGUCAGAAUCCAUCUGUAGGAAAAAAACUGGAAAUAAUUAGCCUGGGUUCAGUGGUUCAUGCUUGUAAUCUCAAUCUCAGCACUUUGGGAGACUGAGGCAGGUGAAUCACUUGAGCCCAGAAGUUCGAGACCAGCCUGGCAACAUGGUGAAACCCUGUCUCUACUGAAAAUACCAAAAAAUUAGCCAGGCGUGGUGGCGCACGCCUAUAAUCUCAGCUACUCAGGAGGCUGAGGCACGCGAAUCACUUGAACAUGGGAGGCAGAGGUUGCAGUGAGCAGAGAUUGUGCCACUGCACUCUGGCCUGUGUGACAGAGCAAGACCUUGUCUCAAAAAAAAAAAAAAUAAAAACCAUAAUCAUUAAAUUAUAUUUAAAAAGAAAAGAAAAAAGCUAUACACACAGUAGAUGAUUGAUGGACAAGAGGUUUAUUGAUUGAUUGAUCAUCUGGAGAGCUGGUGUGGGGAGAAGAAUCACAUGUCUGUGCUUAGACAAGUUUGGAUGAGGUAGAGCAAGGAAGGAACUUCUCUUAAGGGCAGGGAAAAGUCUACAGCCUCACCCUGACACAGCCUUGGCCAAGCCUCCCCUACAUCCCUCCCAUCCAUAGACCAAAGCCCUGCAGGCUCAGAGCCCACCGAGCCAUCUUAGAGAGGCUCUAAGUCAGGGCUUACAGAUGUCAGGGCUCCCCUUCUAGUCUCUUGCUGGCACCUGAUGCCUUUCCUCCACAGAAGGCCACCUCCCCCCUGCCUCUCUCAUUCCAUCUCUAACUCCAUCCUCAGCCCAUUCUCCCACCUAGACACAGCUGGGUGCCAGUUCCUUGCAGGCCCUCCUGGCUGCCUCUCUCUGAGGAAACAAAACCAAGCCAAGCAUCCCACCCAAACCUCAAAACCAGGCUUGGUUUGUUAUUGGUCCCAAUCAGAUGCAAUCCAGGAGGUGUGGGAUAGGAGUGGGAGGGGUAGAGGGGGAGCAGAGGCCACCCAGGAGUGUGCAGAGCCCAGACUGAAGCCCUAAGGCUCUUUCAUCCUCCCUGGCUGCGAAGGGCUGGUCUUUGGCAGAGAUGCCUCUGUGCCCUCUGUCUUCCGGGGACGCUCUCACACCUACCGCUUUGGCUGGGACUAUAAGAUGGGCAGCUGUUGAGGCCCACUAGGGGUGCUGUGGGGCAGAUGGUCUUUGUUUAUUACCAUGGAUGGCUGACCUUUGCUGGCUUACCACGGGGAAUCCGGGAGAAUCUCUGCAUUGGCAGACAGCAUCUCAACAUAUCAUUUUGAGAUAAGAAUCAUUUCUGUUUGAUUUCAUGACCCUAAUUUAUUUUGGACUGUCUUUUUUUCACACAAAGAAUUAAAGUGUCUGUAACUUCAUAAAGACUGGCGUGUUUAUGACAAAAAGCAAAGAAUAAAGGUGUGAACUUUCCAGGUCAUUCAUCACUAGGCAAAGUCUCAAAUAUGAAGCCUGCCACACCAAGUACCCUCUACACUUACAUUCUUUCUGUUCCUUUUGGACGAUGUAUUUGAACAGUAAAAAAAAGGAACAAGAAUGUGGUGAUUUGGAUACUUUUUAGAGGCAUGGCUUUCUGUGUUUAAGCUGUUGUAGCUCUUUGUGGUCACUGUGAUUUCAGAAUACAGGACAGUCAGGCCAGUGAAUCCAACUCUUCUGUGUGGACUUCUGUGCACAGGAUGAAAGGCACCUACCUCUUGCUUCUGAGAGACUUCCCUGCCUACUUUCUGGCCCAACGAGGCAAUCUCUUCAGAGUCAGGAGAAGGAGUGAGGCUGAUCUUGAACUCCUAGUUUUGAGAGAUCUUCCUGCUCUGUCUGGCCUCCCAAUGUUCUAGGAUUACAGGUGUGUGAGCCAUGGUGCACAGCCGCCCAGGUGUUUUUGGUGGAGGUGGCUCAAGUCCCCACCAGAGACACACUGGUUUAGAGCCUGCUCAGGAGGAACAAAGACGUUGAA